rnacentral:rRNA from 1 species
UACAGAGGAGGCAAGCGUUAUCCGGAAUUAUUGGGCGUAAAGCGUCCGCAGGUGGCGAUUCAAGUCUGCGGUUAAAGACUGGGGCUUAACCCUGGAAAGGCCGUGGAAACUGAAACGCUAGAGUGCAGUAGGGGUAGAGGGAAUUCCCGGUGUAGCGGUGAAAUGCGUAGAGCUCGGGAAGAACAUCGGUGGCGAAAGCGCUCUGCUGGACUGCAACUGACACUCAGGGACGAAAGCUAGGGGAGCGAAUGGG